GAACGCUGGUGGCGUGCUUAAUACAUGCAAGUCGUACGAGAAAGUCCUUCGGGAUGAGUACAGUGGCGCACGGGUGAGUAACACGUAGGUGACCUACCUCGUAGUUGGGGAUAACAGCGGGAAACCACUGCUAAUACCGAAUGUGUUGUGUGACAUUAGAAAAGCACAACAAAGAAUGCCUCUACUUGUAAGCAUUCGCUAUGAGAUGGGCCUGCGCGGCAUUAGCUAGUUGGUGGGUAAUGGCCUACCAAGGCAACGAUGCCUAGCUGGUCUGAGAGGAUGAUCAGCCACACUGGAACUGAGACACGGUCCAGACUCCUACGGGAGGCAGCAGUAGGGAAUAUUGCGCAAUGGGGGAAACCCUGACGCAGCAACGCCACGUGAGUGAGGAAGGCCUUCGGGUUGUAAAGCUCUGUCCUAAGGGAAAAAUGGCAGGUGAUCUAACAGGUCAUCUGAUUGAUGGUACCUUAGAAGAAAGCACCGGCUAACUUCGUG
rnacentral:rRNA from 1 species